AUGGAGGACGUUCACCGGUACCCCGUCUUCUUUGACUGCCCCGGUCUGGACGGAGAGAGGCAGAAGAAAACCGAGAGGUACUUUCACGUGAGGCGCAAGUCCGGAGGUGGAGACUGCGGCUCCAUAACCAACGUCCACGGUGACGUGUACAGCAUCUCCUUCAACAAAAGAGAGGAUCAGGAAAGAGUCCUACAGAAAUCUGUACAUGUGUUGGACUUCGGGGGGGUUCCUCUGGUGCUGACUGUGAGAAGCACCCCGGGACCUUCCACCGACCCUCCCAUCACAAAAUUGGACCCGACAUCGUCACAGCAGACACAGCCGUCCAGUCUGACCUCAAGCCGGCUAACAAGUGACGAAGAAUAUGAACUGCGACAUGAUCCUCACCUGCUGCGUUAUCUGACCGAGUGCCCCCCUGCUAUGAAAGAACUAGACAAGGGACUGGCCUCUGUGGCCUGCUCGGCCCAGCUGUACCCAGAGGAGGACCGGGUUCUAGUUAGCCGGUUAGCUCAAGC
ensembl:lncRNA